rnacentral:lncRNA from 1 species
CACGCAUUGAGUACAUCUCUAUGGAAACUCUCAUAAAAAUACAGUUUAAUGAGUAACAAGUUGGAGGAAAGUGUUUCAAGUGUUGACCAUGUUGCAGCCUGGCUGACAGGACUGAGGUAUUCUCUGCCAAUUGCAUAGGCAGAGUCUGACAUCAGAUGGCUUGUACUUUAACAGGAAACAUCCCAAAGGCCAGUUAGGAUACACUGGACAUUGGCUGAGAAGAGGAGUCGUUAUGCAAGAAAUUUAUUGAAGAAGACCUCUCCCGGAGUACCCAGAGGAGAAAGGGAAGUACAAGGCUUUGUGACUGGAGGCCAUGUCCUCUGCCUCUUUCAUGGACAUAUGGAUGAAUGCCUGACCAUUUCACCUUCUAACAGUGAUGACCAAUGCAGGUCUGGGCUUGGGACAAGGAGAUCUGGGUAGGGGUGGGGAGAAAAGAUUGGUUGGACGUUUUAGCCUUCUGUUACUGUGACAAAAUGCCCAAGAAAGUCAAGUUAGUAAAAUAAAAGGUUAUUUUGGCUCAUGCUUUCGGUCCAUGAUUGCUUGGCACCUGUUACUUUAGGUCGGUGGUACAAGACAUCAUGGUAGCAGAAUGUGGCAGAGGCUGUUUCUACCUUAUGACAUUUGAGGUUCUAAUAUUCCAGUGACAUAACCUCUUUACAGUAGGCUCCCUCCUAAAGGCUCUACCACUCCUCAGUAGUCCUGCAGGUUGGGGACCAAGCCUUCCAUAUUUAGGCUGUUAGUGUAUAUCUC